GCUAAAAUUGCAGCGAAAACAGUGUGGGGUGCUUUAAGAGGAUUAGAAACGUUUUCUCAGUUGAUUUGGACGGAUGGUGAAUCGAGUCAUCGUUUUGUCAAUGAAACAGUAAUACGAGAUCAUCCCCGAUUUCCCCACAGAGGUUUAAUGAUUGAUUCUGCCCGACAUUAUCUACCAUAAUAGAGCAAGUAAUUGAGUCACUGUCUUACAACAAGUUGAAUGUACUGCAUUGGCAUAUUGUUGACGACCAAAGUUUUCCUUUCGUUAGCGUUAAAUAUCCGGAACUAUCGAAAAAGGGAGCCUACUUGCCGGAAUUAGUGUACGAUCCGUCUGAUGUAAAACAUAUAAUUGACUUUGCAAGAGAUCGUGGCAUCAGAGUGAUAUUGGAGUUUGAUACACCGGGUCACACUCAAGGUUUUGGCAAGGCUUUUCCAAGUCUGAUAACGCCAUGUUUUGGGGAUGGUAUUAACGCUGGAACGGCAAACUAUCCCAAUCACGCUGCCUAUGAAAUUUUAAAUCCUAUGGAUGAAAACACUUAUACAUUCAUGACUGAUUUCCUCAAAGAAAUUGUUGAAAGCGUGUCAAAGGAUAAAUAUGUUCAUCUUGGAAUG